UAACAGUAGGGGAGCCUCUGCGGAAGUGACCUCUCUACAUGAAACGCGUUAGGCAGAACACUAAGAACUCUAAUUUUUGUGGCGGCUGCAGGAGUAGGGGAUAAACCAUGUGACAUGUGUGGGUUUUUGGUAUAACGUUGAACCCAAGGUAUCAAUCUUCGGCAGAACAAUGAGAAUUCUAAUGUAAGUGCAGAAUAUGUCUACGACAAGAAAACGGAAAAGUCUCAAAAUACGUGACCUUCCCUGGGUGAAGCCGAGUCAUACACGGAGGCAAGAAUGGAGGAAAGUCUGACCCUAACGACUACCUGUAGUGAGAAAGAGACCAGAGAAAGCAGGAAAAGCGACGGCUGUAAAUGUGCAGAGGAACGGAGCAAGUGAUGGAGCUACAGCCCAACACAGGGAGAGAUACUUGUGGACGGCUGAACAACUGCUUCAGUGAGUAUGUAACAGCGGAGUGCACAGAGCAGUAAAUGAGCAAUAUUAUACUAUUCUAUUACAUUCCUUUCUAGCCGUGCAGACUGAGGAGGAGACGUAGUGAAGUGAAUACCAGUGGCGGAACUACCGGGGGAGCAGGGGGUGCAGUUGGACCAGGGCCCGCACCCCCUCAGGGCCCCCCGGCAGCUCACGCCCCGCUGAUUUCUGGUUAGAUAAUUGCGUACGGAGGGGGCGGGGCUGCACGUUUCGCACCAGGGCCCGCCCCCUCUAGUUACAUUACUGGUGAAUACAUCAUUACUUGUGACUGAGCUGACACCGAUCUCCUCUUUGAACUGUAGGAUACAAGACAUCUCGGGGCUUCUUUAGCGCAGGGUUUUCCAAGUACAAACUUUACAAAUGUGCUGAAAGAAUAUUUUGGGGGAGCGAUGUCACCUCUUAAUUUUGGUACAUUUGUUUCAUAUACUGACUUUUCUCCAACUUCCACAAGUUCAGUUUUAUUCUUUGUUUCUUCAAAAGCCUCAAUCCUGAAAUGAAAGAAUAACAAAAAUGUAACUAUAUAAUGUACUAUAUAAACUAUAGUAGUACUUAUCUGU